rnacentral:lncRNA from 1 species
GCCAGAUAUUUAAAGGGAGAUUAAUUCUUCCUUAUUGUUGAUGUCUUCAUGCUGACAGAGAAGACAGGGACCAAUGAUAGAAUACUAAAAAGCCAUGUUUGGGUAUUUUUAGUCUGAUUAAAAUAAGGAAUGAUUCAAAACGUUUUCCAAAUUGUCUCUUCCCACAGACUCCUACAAAGCUUCCAGCCUGAUUUUCCGGAUCUGAGAAGCUCGGCCAAAUGCUCUACAUGUCGAGGAGCCUCUUCCAUUCAGACGGAGCCUUCCAAUCAAAGUGUCUUGGAUGGGAACCCCCAGCAGCUCCCAGGGACUGAUGGAAGACAUGAAAAUUCACACUGCAGUCGGCAAAGCAACACUUUACCUUCUGAACGAUGCUCUUAGGUGGGAGAAAUCACAGGCAAAUUCUGACUUAUGGGAGGAAUGGAACCGAACAGGAAGCUGGGUUACGACUUGAAUCCUGCCAUUUCUCCACUGGAUUCCUAAGAAAGGCUGGACUGAGAAACACAUUUGGCGCUGAUAAGACAGAAAUGCAAUAGCUCUUCUGAGCCCUUGCAUCUUGCAGGGUAACUUGGACCACGCACCCACGCCGUUUUGGCACCUCUGCUAGUCUGACUCAUUUCCUCUACCCAGAGGAGAAACAGGGACCCCUUGGCCAAAGCCUUUACCUUCACAGCCAGGGGAGUCGGCAUGUCUCCAGAUUCUAAGAUGCUUUGGGGACAAACCCCCAAGCCCCUCCCCAGAUGAAGUUCUUUCCUAAUUCUGGGUACAGUCUGAGUUUUAUAUCAGUGCUUGGGUGAAUUCAGUGCCUUCUACAUAAAAAGAAAUUCAACUAAUUUUAGAAUUUAAAAAAAACCAACAACAAGCAAACAAAUACAACCCUCAAUCAAGAACUCCUGCAUCCUCCUCUGCCCUAUGACUCUGCAGGUCCACAGAGCCCCGGGCAAGAGGCCGAGGUGUUCCACCCAUGACGGAACACAGUCGAUUCCAUUUUAUUCGAUGUUUAUUAGCAGACUUUGCUUGAUGAUAUUUACUCACUUGGCAAAGCAGAUAGAAAAGCCGAGCAGAAUUCAGUAGAAAGAAACUGGACCUACCCAAUCCCGUCCCUCAGUGGGGAGCUGUUCAUCCUCUGAGUCACCCAGCUUCCCAGUUACCCCAUGGUUGCAGCUGUCGCCUCCUGGCCCACAUGGGGCUCUGAACCAGGAACCCUUCCCCAGCUAUGAAUUCAUAUAUUGGGCUUAACGGUGACACAAAAUUGAUCCCACG